rnacentral:rRNA from 1 species
UACAGAGGUGGCAAGCGUUGUUCGGAAUUACUGGGCGUAAAGCGCGUGUAGGCGGCUCUUCAAGUCAGGCGUGAAAGCCCCGGGCUUAACCUGGGAACUGCGUUUGAAACUGGGAGACUUGAGUGUGGCAGAGGGGGGUGGAAUUCCACGUGUAGCAGUGAAAUGCGUAGAUAUGUGGAGGAACACCGAUGGCGAAGGCAGCCCCCCUGGGUUAACACUGACGCUCAUGCACGAAAGCGUGGGGAGCAAACAGG